rnacentral:rRNA from 1 species
AGAGGCCACACCCGUUCCCAUACCGAACACGGAAGUUAAGCUCUU